CUUCAUGGCCUCAUGAUUUGCCAGCUCAAUUAAUGAGCUUGGAUUAGAUGGUCCAUGCUUUUUCCAAUUUCUAUUUUCUGUUUUUAUUUUCCUUUUAUUUUCUUUAAUUCCAUUUUAUUUCAAAAAUCAAUAUCUCUUUCAUUUUUUAUCCAAAAAUUAUGGGACCAAUCGCAUUAUUUCCCAAAUAAAUUCUAAUUUCUAUUUCUGAUUUUUAAUAUUUUUUAUUUUGUCAUUUGAUAUUUUUUGUGAAUUUUCUCUUUUCUGGUUUUUUUUAAUUCAUUUUAACUAGUUUUUGAUAUUCAAAAAAUGCAAAAAU
rnacentral:lncRNA from 1 species